GAUGAACGCUGGCGGCGUGCCUAAUACAUGCAAGUAGAACGCUGAAGGAGGAGCUUGCUCUUUCCGGAUGAGUUGCGAACGGGUGAGUAACGCGUAGGUAACCUGCCUGGUAGCGGGGGAUAACUAUUGGAAACGAUAGCUAAUACCGCAUAACAGUAGAUAUUGCAUGAUAUUUGCUUGAAAGGGGCAAUUGCUCCACUACCAGAUGGACCUGCGUUGUAUUAGCUAGUUGGUGAGGUAACGGCUCACCAAGGCGACGAUACAUAGCCGACCUGAGAGGGUGAUCGGCCACACUGGGACUGAGACACGGCCCAGACUCCUACGGGAGGCAGCAGUAGGGAAUCUUCGGCAAUGGACGGAAGUCUGACCGAGCAACGCCGCGUGAGUGAAGAAGGUUUUCGGAUCGUAAAGCUCUGUUGUAAGAGAAGAACGAGUGUAGAGUGGAAAGUUCACACUGUGACGGUAUCUUACCAGAAAGGGACGGCUAACUACGUG
rnacentral:rRNA from 1 species